UACAGAGGUCUCAAGCGUUGUUCGGAUUCAUUGGGCGUAAAGGGUGCGUAGGCGGCGCGGUAAGUCGGGUGUGAAAUCUUGGAGCUUAACUCCGAAACUGCAUUCGAUACUGCCGUGCUUGAGGACUGGAGAGGAGACUGGAAUUUACGGUGUAGCGGUGAAAUGCGUAGAUAUCGUAAGGAAGACCAGUGGCGAAAGGCGGGUCUCUGGACAGUUCCUGACGCUGAGGCACGAAGGCCAGGGGGAGCAAACGGG
rnacentral:rRNA from 1 species